GAGAACUUUCCAGAGAUGGAUUGGUGCCUUCGGGAACUCUGACACAGGUGCUGCAUGGCUGUCGUCAGCUCGUGUCGUGAGAUGUUGGGUUAAGUCCCGUAACGAGCGCAACCCUUGUCCUUAGUUACCAGCACGUUAUGGUGGGCACGUCUAAGGAGAACGUGCCGGUGACAAACCGGAGGAAGGUGGGGAUGACGUCAAGUCCUCAUGGCCUUUAUGACCAGGGCUACACACGUACUACAAUGGCCGAUACAAAGGGCAGCGACACUGCGAGGUGAAGCCAAUCCCGUAAAAUCGGUCUCAGUCCGGAUUGGAGUCUGCAACUCGACUCCAUGAAGUUGGAAUCGCUAGUAAUCGUGGAUCAGCAUGCCACGGUGAAUACGUUCCCGGGCCUU
rnacentral:rRNA from 1 species